rnacentral:rRNA from 1 species
CAGUCGCCACGGUAAUACAGAGGGUGCGAGCGUUAAUCGGAUUUACUGGGCGUAAAGCGUGCGUAGGCGGCUUUUUAAGUCGGAUGUGAAAUCCCUGAGCUUAACUUAGGAAUUGCAUUCGAUACUGGGAAGCUAGAGUAUGGGAGAGGAUGGUAGAAUUCCAGGUGUAGCGGUGAAAUGCGUAGAGAUCUGGAGGAAUACCGAUGGCGAAGGCAGCCAUCUGGCCUAAUACUGACGCUGAGGUACGAAAGCAUGGGAAGCAAACAGGAUUAGAUACCCCAGUAGUCCCUGUCUCUUAUAA